UACGUAGGGGGCAAGCGUUUGUCCGGAUUUAUUGGGCGUAAAGAGCGUGUAGGCGGCCAGAUAGGUCCGUUGUGAAAACUCGAGGCUCAACCUCGAGACGCCGGCGGAAACCAUCUGGCUAGAGUCCGGAAGAGGAGAGUGGAAUUCCUGGUGUAGCGGUGAAAUGCGCAGAUAUCAGGAAGAACACCCGUGGCGAAGGCGGCUCUCUGGGACGGUACUGACGCUGAGACGCGAAAGCGUGGGGGAGCGAACAGG
rnacentral:rRNA from 1 species